AAUGAACGCUGGCGGCAUGCCUUACACAUGCAAGUCGAACGGCAGCAUGACCUAGCUUGCUAGGUUGAUGGCGAGUGGCGAACGGGUGAGUAAUGCAUCGGAACGUGCCUUUUAGUGGGGGAUAACGUAGCGAAAGUUACGCUAAUACCGCAUAUUCUCUGAGGAGGAAAGCAGGGGACCUUCGGGCCUUGCGCUAGAAAAGCGGCCGAUGUCGGAUUAGCUAGUUGGUGAGGUAGAGGCUCACCAAGGCAACGAUCCGUAGCGGGUCUGAGAGGAUGAUCCGCCACACUGGGACUGAGACACGGCCCAGACUCCUACGGGAGGCAGCAGUGGGGAAUUUUGGACAAUGGGCGCAAGCCUGAUCCAGCCAUGCCGCGUGAGUGAAGAAGGCCUUCGGGUUGUAAAGCUCUUUCGGCUGGGAAGAAAUCGCACCCUCUAAUACAGGGUGUGGAUGACGGUACCAGCAUAAGAAGCACCGGCUAACUACGUG
rnacentral:rRNA from 1 species